rnacentral:lncRNA from 1 species
CCGCGGGCUGCGGCCGAGCAGAAGGGUGGGAGUGACCACGCUUCCCAGGCGGCCCCGCGGUGCGAGAGGCGGCCCUGCUCCCGGGGGCUGCAGGGAAUUGUAGUCUCGGCGCGUGCAGAGCGCGGAGUUUUACAGGGAGCAGCAAUUCACAGAAAAUAAUGUUUGAGAAUGCACAUAAAUAACAAAAAUAAAGGAGCAUCUAUAACCACGUCUUCUAGAAGUUUUUAACCUCCGGCUUAUUUUCUAAAGAUUUGAGACCUAGCCUUUGCCUCUUAAUCUGGUCAGAGUAUGAAUGAAUGCAGUUCACCAAAGAAGCAAUACUGAAAGUAUUCUCCAAGUUAGCACUUCUGUCACUGACCAGGAAAGAGAAGCCUGAGAUGAAAUGUCCCAGAAAUAGUGAGUGAAGGAAGAACUACUUGGAGUGCUGCAAAAUGUUUUCAAGGACAUACCUAAAAAGGCAGGAAAUUUUGGACACUAGUUCUCAAGAGUGUAAUUCCCCUCAAACAUCAUAUAGGAAAUGCUCAUGGAUAGAACAUCUGCUUCUAC